CAGCAUUCUACACAUUUUCAGUCCAAGCCUGAUGCAGGGCAGUUCUCCCGGGUUAAGGGGUCCCUGCUGCAGUUUCACCAGUAAAGAAAAUUACUUGUUACAGUUCACUUGAAGGACCACAUAAGCCAUGCAGUGGUGCAUGGAGGAACGCCAAGAGGACAGGAAGUGGAAGUUUGUAAGGGACAUUGGUCCAGCGUGGUACAGAGUCAUCGUGGGUUAUUCUGUGGGGAGGUGACAGGGCCUGCCGUUCUCCAGAUGGACAGUAAAAAUCAACAGAAUGCCAUCAAAGACUACCUGGAGGGAGAAUCGGAGGAUAUAUUGAAGCAAGGAAUCUCUCUGUGUAGUCUAUGUAUGUAUGUGUGUGUACUGCAUGUCAAGAACUGUUUUUCUGAUCAUUCAGCUGCUCAGACUUUAUAAUAUUUGGAGCCCUGCCGUUCUCCAGAUGGACAGUAAAAAUCAACAGAAUGCCAUCAAAGACUACCUGGAGGAGAAUCGGAGGAUAUAUUAAAGCAAGGAAUCUCUCUGUGUAGUCUAUGUUAUGUAUAUGUGUGUACUGCAUGUCAAGAACUGUUUAUCUGAUCAUUCAGCUGUUCAUUCAGCUGCUCAGACUUUAUAAUAUUUGGAGCAUAUCUUUUGUUAAACACAACCAGUCAAAAGUUUUUGAACAGUGAGAUUUUUUAAUGUUUUUAAAGAAAUAUCUUCUGCUCAUCAAGCCUGCAUUUAUUUAAUCCGAAGUACAGCAAAAACAGUCCAAUUUUAAAAUAUUUGUAUAAUAUUUUUUGUUUUUGUAAUAUAUUUUGCUAUUUAAAAUAACAAUUUUCUAUAUUUCUAUUAAAAUGAAAUGUAAUCCUGUGAUUUCAAAGGUGACUUACUCCAGUCACAUGAUCCUUCAUUCUAAUAUGCUGAUUUGAUGCUCAAAAAAAGCAAAAACAGUCCAAUUUUAAAAUAUUUGUAUAAUAUUUUGCUUUUGUAAUAUAUUUUGCUAUUUAAAAUAACAAUUUUCUAUAUUUCUAUUAAAAUGAAAUUUAUUCCUGUGAUUUCAAAGGUGUCUUACUCCAGUCACAUGAUCUCUCAUUCUAAUAUGCUGAUUUGAUGCUCAAAAAACAUUUUAUUAUUAUUAUUAUGUUAAUACACUGAAGACUGGAGUAAUGAUGAAGAAAAUUCAGCUUUUGAUCACAGGAAUAAACUGCAUUUUAAAAUAGAAAAGCAGUUCUUUUAAAUUGUAAAAAUAUUUCACAUUACUGUUUUUGCUGUGUUUUGGAUCAAAUAAAUGCUGGCUUGGUGAGCAGAAGAGACUUUAAAAAAAUAUAAAAAUCUUACUGUUCAAAAAACUGGGUGGUGUAUAUUAUUAUUAUUAUUAUAUUUUUUUUUUUUUGUAAAAAUUGUACAUGUAAUUAUUUUUGUAAAAUAAUAAAUAUAAAAAUACCCAAUGAAACAAUGGAUGCCUUUUUCAUUCAUCUUUAAGUAUGUGGAGGACCUGGACA
rnacentral:lncRNA from 1 species